AUCAGUUGCCCUGUGACGGGAUGGGAUCCGAAGCCUCCCGAAUAUCCCAACUCCUAUUUCAACACGUCCACGUCGUGCAGGGUGGUAACAUGGGCCUGAACCCAUCCUUUUGGGUGGGUGGCGGCUCAUAGCUAAGGAGGAAGGG
rnacentral:ribozyme from 1 species